GUUAAAAGCUCGUAGUUGAACCUUGGGUCUGGCUGGCCGGUCCGCCUCACCGCGAGUACUGGUCCGGCUGGACCUUUCCUUCUGGGGAACCUCAUGGCCUUCACUGGCUGUGGGGGGAACCAGGACUUUUACUGUGAAAAAAUUAGAGUGUUCAAAGCAGGCCUUUGCUCGAAUACAUUAGCAUGGAAUAAUAGAAUAGGACGUGCGGUUCUAUUUUGUUGGUUUCUAGGACCGCCGUAAUGAUUAAUAGGGAUAGUCGGGGGCGUCAGUAUUCAGCUGUCAGAGGUGAAAUUCUUGGAUUUGCUGAAGACUAACUACUGCGAAAGCAUUCGCCAAGGAUGUUUUCAUUAAUCAGGGAACGAAAGUUAGGGGAUCGAAGACGAUCAGAUACCGUCGUAGUCUUAACCAUAAACUAUGCCGACUAGGGAUCGGGCGGUGUUUCUAUGAUGACCCGCUCGGCACCUUACGAGAAAUCAAAGUUUUUGGGUUCUGGGGGGAGUAUGGUCGCAAGGCUGAAACUUAAAGAAAUUGACGGAAGGGCACCACAAGGCGUGGAGCCUGCGGCUUAAU
rnacentral:rRNA from 1 species